AGACGUCUACAUUAGACUACCCCCGUAGUCCCAGCCCUAAACGAUGCGCGUUAGGUGUAUCGGUGACCACGAGUCACCGAGGUGCCGAAGGGAAACCGUGAAACGUGCCGCCUGGGAAGUACGGUCGCAAGGCUGAAACUUAAAGGAGUUGGCGGGGGAGCACCACAACGGGUGGAGCCUGCGGUUUAAUUGGACUCAACGCCGGGAAGCUCACCGGAUAAGACAGCGGAAUGAUUGCCGGGCUGAAGACCCUGCAUGACCAGCUG
rnacentral:rRNA from 1 species